GGGGCGGCGUCCGGCUCCGGCCGAGCUGGGGGAGGAGCGCGGCGGCGACGGCGGCUGCUCCAGAAGAGGAGGAAAAGGAGGCGGAGGAGCUCCUUUCCUUUUCCCAGACCCCGGAGCGUUCGGGACGUAGAGCCCGGAACUGGGGGGACGCGGCGACUGCGGGGGCCCGGGAAGAGACUUGAGCUUGAAUGAUGGCUUGCCUUUUCUUGUAUCCACCAUUUCCAGCACUGGAAUCCAUGCUGAAUCUGGUCAUUGUCUCUGCUGCUACCACCAAGAUUCAAGCUGCUGUUCUCUUUCCUGGAUUAUUGCAUUAGCCAUCUGACU
rnacentral:lncRNA from 1 species